rnacentral:misc_RNA from 1 species
UGGAGGCGGCCGUGCAGGAGG